UCCUCCAGGCUGGAGUGUAAUGGCAAGAUCUCUGCUGAAUGCAACCUCCACCUCCGAUUCAAGCAAUUCUCCUGCCUCAGCUUCCCAAGUAGCUGGGAUUACAGUUGAACCCUGGUUGAUACAGUGUCACUUCUGAGAUGAAGUGAUAAAAGACUGCGACUUUCGACUUGCUGGUAUUCUCUCCCUGGCUUUUCCGGCAUGCCUGCUCUGACAUAGAGGGCCAUCUUGCAGGACACUGGGGAAACCCUCCAGUGGAGAGCCAGCAAGGAACGGAGGUCCUCGAUUCGACAGCCUGUGAAGAACUGCAGCCUGCCAAAAACCGCAUACAUGAGCUUAGAAAUGGAUUCUACUCCAGUUAAGCCUUGAAAUGACUAUGGCUUCAGCCAACACCUUGACUGCCGCCUCAUGAGAGACCCUAAAUCGAAGGACCCUGCGGUGCAUGACUGAAAACUGUGAGAUAAC
rnacentral:lncRNA from 13 species